AACGUAGGUGGCGAGCGUUAUCCGGAUUUACUGGGCGUAAAGGGUGUGCAGGCGGGGGUCCAAGUGGGGUAUGAAAUCGCCCGGCUUAACCGGGCUAGGUUAUGCCAGACUGGACUUCUAGAGUGCGAGAGAGGGACGUGGAAUUCCGGGUGUAGUGGUGAAAUGCGUAGAGAUCCGGAGGAACCCCAGAGGCGAAGGCGGCGUCCUGGCUCGCAACUGACGCUCAGACACGACAGCAUGGGGAGCGAACGGG
rnacentral:rRNA from 1 species